UCUUGUCUUUGUCUUCUAACUCGUGAGUAUCUCGGUUGAUGAUUUUGCAGGAGGAUUUUGGUGCCCGGUGAGGAUCGGAGGACGUUGGUUGUUUUGUUUCCGUAGUUGGUGUCUCUUCUUCUGGUUUGACAGACGGCCAAGUACAGGUCGGGUUGAAGAAUGAAGACUGACUAAGCUGAUUUGAUGGUUGCUGCAGUAGCAGCACUUGGGAUAAAAACAAAAACAGAGGUUUGUUACAGGUCAUGACUCUUAGUGUUGUUCUGAUGCUUUCUUCUCCUCUGCAGCUGUCCGUGACUACAGACUGUCUCUCCAACCUCAAAACUUGAAUGGAGGAAGCAUUGCAUUUUCAGUGGUUUUUA